rnacentral:rRNA from 1 species
AUUGAACGCUGGCGGAAUGCUUUACACAUGCAAGUCGAACGGCAGCACGGGGGCAACCCUGGUGGCGAGUGGCGAACGGGUGAGUAAUAUAUCGGAACGUGCCCAGUCGUGGGGGAUAACGCAGCGAAAGCUGUGCUAAUACCGCAUACGAUCUACGGAUGAAAGCGGGGGAUCGCAAGACCUCGCGCGAUUGGAGCGGCCGAUAUCAGAUUAGCUAGUUGGUGGGGUAAAAGCCCACCAAGGCGACGAUCUGUAGCUGGUCUGAGAGGACGACCAGCCCCACUGGAACUGAGACACGGUCCAGACUCCUACGGGAGGCAGCAGUGGGGAAUUUUGGACAAUGGGCGCAAGCCUGAUCCAGCAAUGCCGCGUGCAGGAUGAGGGCCUUCGGGUUGUAAACUGCUUUUGUACGGAACGAAAAGGUCUGCCCUAAUACGGCGGGCUC